GACGAACGCUGGCGGCGUGCCUAACACAUGCAAGUCGAACGGACAGGCCCUGCUUUUGUGCGGUCCUCGAGUGGCGAACGGGUGACUAACACGUGAGUAACCUGCCCUUGACUUUGGGAUAACUUCAGGAAACUUGGGCUCAUACCGGAUAGGAGCUCCUGCUGCAUGGUGGGCGUUGGAAAGUUUCGCCGGUUGGGGAUGGACUCGCGGCUUAUCAGCUUGUUCGUGGGGUAGUGGCUUACCAAGGCUUUGACGCGUAGCCGGCCUGAGAGGGUAGCCGGCCACGUUGGGUCUGAGAUACGGCCCAGACUCCUACGGUACGCGGCGGUGGAGAAUAUUGACCAGUGCGCGGAAGCCUGAUGCGACAACGCCAUGCGGGGGAUAAGGGCCUGCGGGUAGUAUUCCGCUUUUGUCUGUGAGGAAGCGUGAGUGACGGUAAUGGGUAAAGAAGCACCGGCUAACUACGUG
rnacentral:rRNA from 1 species